ACUGCGUUGGUGUCAAAUAGCGGUUCUGGGCCGAGUAACAUUACCGGAUGUAGGGGGAUGUGCUGCCGGUAUGCUAGGGAAAAAUGUUUCCUUCUUUCAGGUUCGGCUGCCCGACACUCCAGGAGGACGUGCAGGACGGUCAGCCUCUCCCCGCAUCUACCGCAGGUUGGAGGAUCAUUUUCAGGUGCAGUACACCGGAUUCCGAGAAGGAUGGACCAAUGGCUGCGUAGGACACCCCGGCAUGCGACUUAGAAGCGUCUGUGUAAAACUCUGUGCACGAGUACUUGUACUGGAGCUCCAAGAAAUGCAUUUUGAUAUGUGUCUCU